UCCGUCGCAAAGGAGGGUGGGUCUUGCAUUCUCGGGCCUGACGAUUGGUCUUUCCAAGUGCCGGAAGCAACAGGGAUGUCGUCUGGAAACAAAAUCUGGUAUUGAAGCGCAGGGAGACAAAACGUCCACCUCUAGAGCCGAGGCGGCGGUUGCCUGUCGCGUGCCCGUGGUCUUCUGCCUGCCCCCGGACAUCUCGGGCCACGUCCGGCCCGGCCUCCGGCCGCGCUGCCCUAACGGGCGUCACGGGGCAUGAAGAGCUCUGGGCGGCUGCGAGGGGAGGGUACCGGGGCAGCGGGGCGGUCGCUCGGGGCUCCCGCGCGGUGACUCUUGCUCUGCCGUCGAAGAGAACGGCCCUCGGGCGCGUCGCGGCCGCGGCUCCAGAGCCCCUGGGCCUCGCGCUCUGAGAGCCUGAGCCGCUUGAGGAGGCCAAGCGCCCACGAACCGCAUUCCCUGCCUUGCUAGUUAGUUCUCCAACACGCGAAAAAGGUAGACGAGGACUGGUUUUCUUUGCAGCUAAAAUGAAUCAAGCCUCUGCAAAGGUUUCAGGGCCUGCUGUGUGGAGACACGGUUCCAAGCACUGCUGCAGUAGCAGGGAGGAAACAGAACGGACCUCAAACGCUGUCCCAGCAAGGACUCCAGUCUCUGCCUUGUGGAUGUGUAACUGGCACAUGAUGUACCAGAAACUCCUGUGUGUGGUUGUAUCCGGUGCGUGACACAGUACUCUCUCCAGCUGCUCCUUGGAUUUGGGAAGCAGCCGAAGAUUUACGGGCCAUGGAGGCUCCUUCUAUCCCUGGAAAUCGGCCCUUGGGAAUUAAGCUGAGUUAUGUGGUUAAAGCCGUCAUGACAGCCAUCCCCUGGCUGGGCCAGUUCUGGGAAUAACUAUAAUGCUUAUACUACAGGAUGGCCAAUUCAGAACUUCUUACUAGUGCUGAAUUCAAUAAAGGUUUAAUAACACAUUUCUCAAAUCCUUAACAGUACUUUAGGACGUCUCAGCUAGAGAGGGCUUGCAAGGGAUUCUUAUUUAUUUUUUAUUUUUUUUGAGACAGAGUCUCGCUCUGUCGCCCAGGCUGGAGUGCAGUGGCGCCAUCUCAGCUCACUGCAACCUCCACCUCCCAUGUUCAAGCGAUUCUCCUGCCUCAGCCUCCUCAGUAGCUGGGAUUACAGGCACCCGCCACCAUGCCUGGCUAAUUUUCCUAUUUUUAGUAGAGACGGGGGUUUCACCAUGUUGGCCAGGUUGGUCUCAAACUCCUGACCUCGGGUGAUCCACCUGCCUCAGCCUCCCAAAGUGCUGGGAUUAUAGGUGUGAGCCAUGAGUCUCAUAUGACAAGUUCCCUUUUAAAAUGCAUAAAAUCACAGAUACCUUUGUCUGGAAAAAUAGGUUUUUUUUGUUUUUUGGGUUUUUUUUGAAAUAAGGUCUCUAUCACCUAGUCUGGGGUACAGUGGCAAAAUCAAGGCUCACUACAGCCUUGACCUCCCAGGCUAAAGCAAUCCUCCCACCUCAGCCUCCGGAGUAGCUGGGACUAGAGGUACACGCCACCACCCCCAGCUAUUUUUUUUUUUCUUUUUUUGUGCAGACAGGGUCUCACCAUGUUGCCCAGGCUGGUCUCAAACUCCUGGGCUCAAGCAAUCCUUCUGCCUUUGCCUCCCAAAUUGCUGGGUUAACAGGCAUGAGCCACUGCACCCAGCCAGAAGAUAUUAAUAACAUUUCCAGGAAAUUUAACAGAUAAUGUUUCAUAUGUUAAUGAGCAGGAGUUAUUGUGGGAGGCUGAGGUGGGAGGAUUGUUUGAGGCCAGAAGUUGAGACUAGCCCAGGCAACAUAGCAAGACCUCAACGCUACCAAAAGUAAAAACUUAGCUGGGUGUGAGGCUUGCCUGAGCCCAGGAGGCCAACGCUGCAGUGAGCCGUGAUCAUGCCACUGUCCUCCAGCCUGGAAACAGAGCAAGACCCCAUCUUGGAAAAACAAAACAACACAGGGAGAGCAUAGGUGCUCAGUGUCAUAUGAAUUAAUACAUUUUGUUACUGAAACCCAGUUUUACUUUGCAACUUUAAAUUUUUUUCAGAAACAUUAAAGAAUAUAUUUUGUAUGAGUUAAAUAUAGAAAUGCUACUGGCUGUUCCUGAGUUUUAGUUUUAAAUUACUGUCAAUCAUUCCUCAGUGGUCCCAUGCACAGUCCCCAUGCUGCAGGGAGGCCAGCUCCUCUGGGCCUCGUGGAGUAACGGUGUUGCUUAGCCCAUAUCCUCCUGGACAAGUGCUUUGGUUCUUCCCUUUACCGGUAAAGUGUUGCAAACGUAGUCUAUCGAGUUUGUUCUAUUUCAUCUGUUCUGUUUACGAAACUGUAACUUCAUAUAGGACUGCCUUAGGGCUGAAGUAAAUAAACUGUCAACCU
rnacentral:lncRNA from 10 species